UCAACUCUAACUCCACUAGGAAGGUCUGUUGUAAAGUGUAAUUGUUCUUCUGCACAAAUACACCCAUUGUGCAAAGUAUUCAAUAAUUUACCAAAAAUGUUUGGUGUCGGGUUUAUCUAUUGACACUUUAUCCGCUUUACUUUCAGCAAUCACAAUCAUGUAAUCAGAUUCGUGUGUCGACCUAUUUGACAUUACUUUCCUCUAUAGUACAAACAAGCCAGCACCUAAGCUAUUGAUGCCUAUUACAUGUUCUUAAGGUGAAUGUGUGUACGAGAACAUGAUAUUUCUGCCUGAGUGAGCUCUGGCGAGUCAAAAAUUGAAAGUGUUUGGGCACAGAAGAAUCGCCCGCAAAGCCGUAAAAUCGGUUGGAUUGUG
rnacentral:lncRNA from 1 species